AUUGAACGCUGGCGGCAGGCUUAACACAUGCAAGCCGAGCGGGGGAAGGUAGCUUGCUACUGGACCUAGCGGCGGACGGGUGAGUAAUGCUUAGGAAUCUGCCCAUUAGUGGGGGACAACAUCUCGAAAGGGAUGCUAAUACCGCAUACGUCCUACGGGAGAAAGCAGGGGAUCUUCGGACCUUGCGCUAAUAGAUGAGCCUAAGUCGGAUUAGCUAGUUGGUGGGGUAAAGGCCUACCAAGGCGACGAUCUGUAGCGGGUCUGAGAGGAUGAUCCGCCACACUGGGACUGAGACACGGCCCAGACUCCUACGGGAGGCAGCAGUGGGGAAUAUUGGACAAUGGGGGGAACCCUGAUCCAGCCAUGCCGCGUGUGUGAAGAAGGCCUUAUGGUUGUAAAGCACUUUAAGCGAGGAGGAGGCUACUCUAGUUAAUACCUAGGGAUAGUGGACGUUACUCGCAGAAUAAGCACCGGCUAACUCUGUGCCAGCCGCCGCAGUAA
rnacentral:rRNA from 1 species